CACGUAGGAGGCGAGCGUUGUCCGGAAUCAUUGGGCGUAAAGAGCGCGCAGGCGGCUUGGCAAGUCGGGUGUGAAAUCCCGGGGCUCAACCCCGUGACUGCAUCCGAUACUGUCAGGCUAGAGGUAGGUAGGGGAGAUCGGAAUUCCUGGUGUAGCGGUGAAAUGCGCAGAUAUCAGGAGGAACACCGGUGGGCGAAGGCGGCU
rnacentral:rRNA from 1 species